GAUGAAGAACGUAGCGAAAUGCGAUAAGUAAUGUGAAUUGCAGAAUUCAGUGAAUCAUCGAAUCUUUGAACGCACAUUGCGCCCAUUAGUAUUCUAGUGGGCAUGCCUGUUCGAGCGUCAUUAAGUCCACUUAAGCCCUGCUUAGUGUUGGGAGACUGCUCCAGCGGUGCUACCCUGUAGCUACCCUGCAGCUCCUCAAAGACAGCGGCGGAGUUGUGGUAUCCUCUGAGCUUAGUAACUUGUUCUAGCUUUCGAGUACACCACUUCCCCUGCCGUAAAACCCUUAAUUUUUAAUGGUUGACCUCGGAUCAGGUAGGAAUACCCGCUGAACUUAAGCAUAUCAAUAAGCGGAG
rnacentral:misc_RNA from 1 species